GGAGCGAGUUAGGAGGUAGGCGGAGUCUUGUGGGGGGCGGGGAGGUCCCGGAGCCGGCUGGUGGGCGGGGUCUAAAGGGAGCGGCCAGUAAGGAGGGCUCGCUGUUCAGGGCCUGUGGAGUGGGCGCGUUCUAGGACGAGGGGGCGUGGCCCACCGUGCGCCGGCAGGUGGGCGGGGCCUCGGUGGGUCAGGCGUGCCCAGAGCGGCCUACAUUCCGGGCGCAAGCCCGUUGGUCUCCAUGUCAGUGAGGUUGCCCCGCAGGUCCUGCUCCUCCUCGAAGGCCUUGAACAGUGAGUUGAAGUUGCCGGCUCCAAAACCCUGGAGCGGGAGAAAGGAGAAUGCAAGUUCCAUGACGGCAGGAACCUGGUCUGCUUUCCCGGCUGCAUCCCAGUGCCUGAUGCAAGGUUUAGACAACAUUUGUGAGGCAAGAUGGAACUCAGGGCUUGUUCUCCUCGACUGACCGAGGAUCCUGUUCUAGGCCUUACCUCCAGAACAUCAAUAUUCUCCUUCACCCGGAUCUUGGCCGUUUUGAGCUUCUCCCGCAGUUGUUUGUAGUAUGUGGACGGAACAGCCAAAAACUCCAUGCCUCUCUCUCUCAAGUGGUGAAUCUGUCUCAGAGCAGGGUCAAGCCAAGGUCCCUGGGGCCCGAGGGAGGCCCCACCUGGAUCUGGGACUUCUUCCUGCCCGGCGCUGGCUCGUUAAUGGGCAUUUUGAUGGACUCCUCGUAAUUGGCCACCACGAUGGACCGCAGAGAGCUGUACUCCGUGUGCACCUGCGUGUCAUCCACGGACCAGAAACGGUGGAACUGCAGGUUCUUCAGAUGAGGACAUUGAGGCACAGAGAAUUUAAGUCACUCACCUGAAGUCACACAGCUAAUAAGAUUGAGACCCAGCAGUCUGCCUCUGGAAUCUACAUUCUGAACAUCUAAACUGCCUCUUGAAUACAGCGUUUGAUGCAGAAACUGAGGCUCAGACAGAGGUUGCAUGGCUACUAAGGGGCAGAGUGUCACUGGAACUCAGACAGAGGGCAGGCCGAGCCUCACUGCUUCGUCUCCGUGCCAGCCCAGGUGCGGCCUCACCUGCACGAUGUAGUCACAAUCCUCCACCUCGAAGGCAAUGUCCUUCACUCCGUCGCCGUGUUUCACCAGGUGAUCGCCCAUCUCUGUGGCCGGCAGGGGAGGCGGGUGGCGCUGGAGUCGAGGCCCCUCCCCUGUACUCUCAGCCUUCUGGGCUUCAUCUCCUUCUAGGCUGAGGCUCCCUCCCUGAACCCUGAUCCACCCCUGUGUCCCUAACCCCACCCACAAUACCACGUCUCCACUCCCUGGCACCCCGAACCCUCUGGGGCCCCCUCACCUUUGUUCCAGGGGUUGAGGGCAGAGGAGAAGAUGAACACAAUCUAAGGCGUAGAGGAGAAGGGAGGCGUGGCUGGUGGCUCAGGCGAGCUUCUGGAGGUGCACCUCCAGCCCCGUUCCCUGCCCACCAGCGGGAUACCCCUGGUGGGACAUUAGGACAAGACCUCUCUUCCCAGCCAGGUAGGACUGUUGACCCUGGGUUCCUGUCCUUUCUCAGCCUUAGCUUCCCCUCUGGUCCUGAGGGAUGGGGGCUUCUCCCGUGCCAGACCCUCCUGGGGCCUUGGGAUGAGCUGCCAGUCAAGCCUCCCGGUGGGGAGAGCCCCAGGGACCCACGGACCAGGGCACUGCUCAGGUUUCCAGGUCUGACGUCUGAGGCCUUUGCCAACUGUUCUCGAACAUCUGUGAGACCAGCGUUGGGCCAGGCCGAGAAGUAGACCAAACCAAGAAGGUCCCUGUUGCGUGUCGUACAAAGGUGCCAGUGGAGGGCCCAGCGGGGGCUGACCUCAGUGCACGCUCCGCUAACCACACCAGGCAGCCUGGAAGAGCACUGGGCCACCUGGAGGAAGGGCUUCCUGGCCUCCUGCACCCAGAGGUGCCAGAGCUGUCACGGAGCUCAGAGACCAGCAGGGAGAGAGAUGGCCCUCCUGGAUGGGUGGGGUCCUGGGUGUAGACUCACCUUCCCUUGCUUGAUCACGUGGCUGACCAUCUCCCGGGAACCCGUCUCCAGGCCCUUGUAGGCUAGGGGUUCAAAGCCCAUCUUGCUGCAGUAGUACGACGCAGCCUGAAUCACAGAGUUGCAGACGGGCCUGUGAGGGUCGAGGGGCCAGCCCCCAGUCCCCCCAGCCUAUCUGCCCUGUUGCCCCAGGUGCCGAGAUCCUCCUGGGAAGAAAGCCUGCUCCCUGGCCCACGCUGAUCUCAGAUGAGGAAACUGAGACUCAGGAAGAUGAAGACUUGCCCAAAUAAUAAAUUGUCGGAACUUGCCUGCUGGCUCAGUGGUUAAGAUUUCGCCUCCCAAUGCAGGGGACAUGGGUUUGAGCCCUGGUCCGGGAACAUCCCACAUGCCGCGGAGCAACUAAGCCUGUGCGCCAUAACUACUGAGCCCGCGCUCUAGAGCCCUCGAGCCACAACUACUGAGCCUGGGUGCUGCAACUACUGAAGUCCACAUGCCUAGAGCCCGUGCUCUGCAACAAGAGAAGCCACCGCAGUGAAAAGCCUGCGCGCCGCAGCGAAGAGUAGCCCCCGCUCGCCGCAACUAGAGAAAGCCCAUGGGCAGCAAUGAAGACCCAACACAGCCAAAAAUAAAUAAAUGAAUAAUUUUUAAAAAAAUAAUAAAUUGUCCACUGUGAUUAGAAAGUGCUGAACAAGAACUUGGAUCCAGACCACGUUUAUAUCACUAUGUGGGCUGCUGUCCAAACAUAAAACCAAUCCCUUUAUUCCAGGUCUCAAGGAGCUUAACAUCCACUGGGGAAAACUAUGUGAAGGCUCUGAUCCAGACUUUAUCAUUUUUAAAGUCUAAAGCAGGUCCUGGCCAGCAUUUUCCAUAAAGAACUAGAUAAUAAAUAUUUCAGGCUUUGAGGGCCAUAUAGCCUCUGCUGAAACUACUCAGCUCUACAAUUGUAGCAUGAAAGCAGCCAGAGGCAGUAUGUAAAUGAAUUGGCAUGGUUGUGUG